GUCCACGCCGUAAACGAUGUGUGCUGGAUGUCGGGGGGUAUUCACCCCCUCGGUAUCGAAGCUAACGCGAUAAGCACACCGCCUGGGGAGGUACGGCCGCAAGGUUGAAACUCAAAGGAAUUGACGGGGGCCCCGCACAAGCGGUGGAGUAUGUGGUUUAAUUCGACGCAACGCGAAGAACCUUACCCAGCCUUGACAUCCUCGGAACCUGAUGGAAACAUCGGGGUGCCUUCGCAAGAAGGAGCCGGGAGACAGGUGCUGCAUGGCUGUCGU
rnacentral:rRNA from 1 species